UACGUAGGAUCCAAGCGUUGUCCGGAUUUACUGGGUGUAAAGGGUGCGCAGGCGGACUGGUAAGUCUGUGGUGAAAUCUCGCCGCUUAACGGCGAAACUGCCUUAGAUACUAUCAGUCUUGAAUAAGCGAGAGAUCCGUGGAAUUCCGAGUGUAGCAGUGAAAUGUGUAGAUAUUCGGAAGAACACCAGAGGCGAAGGCAGCGGGUUGGCGCUUUAUUGACGCUCAGGCACGAAAGCAUGGGGAUCAAACAGG
rnacentral:rRNA from 1 species